rfam:Acyrthosiphon pisum strain LSR1 Contig19285, whole genome shotgun sequence.
GGCUUUGUAGCUUAGUUGGUUAAAGCGCCAGAAAGUAAGACGGAGAUCGAGAGUUCGAAUCUCUCCAAAGCCU